rnacentral:rRNA from 1 species
UACAGAGGUCUCAAGCGUUGUUCGGAUUCAUUGGGCGUAAAGGGUGCGUAGGCGGCGCGGUAAGUCGGGUGUGAAAUCUCGGAGCUUAACUCCGAAACUGCAUUCGAUACUGCCGUGCUUGAGGACUGGAGAGGAGACUGGAAUUUACGGUGUAGCGGUGAAAUGCGUAGAUAUCUGGAGGAACACCGGUGGCGAAGGCGGCAUCCUGGACCGGUAUUGACGCUGAGGAGCGAAAGCGUGGGGAGCAUACAGG